GUUACUCCUCUGCUCGGAUUUUUCCCUUUCCUUUCGAUUUCUCUAGACUUGGGGGUAGAGAGAGAGAGGGAAUUCAUUCAUGCCCUUCGUUCUCGAUCCUUUCCUCCUCCGCUAGUCAUCUCGCCGUGGGAGGUGCGUCAGCUUCGUCCGCCACCGCCUUAAAAUUCUAUUGCGAGUUCUUCUUCCUUGUGCGCCGUUGCUCAUCUUUCUCCUCUCCCCUGGUUGGGAUGUCGUCCUGAGUAUGUGUGUGGGCUCUGAGUUUCGAUUCUCUUCAUCCUUCUCUAUCUUGUGGUCACAGUCCUCAGCCUCAUACCUCCGACGCAUCGCAGUCGGCAGCUAAGGGUACUUCGAUAGCUGUUUGUUCUCCCUCCCCUGGUCAACUUCUGCUCGUUCGAUGGCCUCUUCUUCCAGGUUCAGUAUUGCCGUCGAGUUUGUGCGAGUGGGUGUGGGUACAUUGAAUUUUUUUUUUUUUUUUUUUUCAUUUUUGGUCAGUCAACUUCUUGGUCUUGCUCGGCUGUUCAUUUCUAGAGGGUGUUUAGAGGAAGGAAACCUUGGUUGAAGUGGUGAGAAGUGAAUUUUGAACCUUGAAAACAUGUUAGUCACAUUUAAAUUUUCAAGGCGUGACAACAUCAUUUGAAGUUGUUCAAGGCUAGAUAGCUUUGCCCGAUGUUGGAUAGAAAUGAAGUUUGACUGAUGAUCAGCCCCGCAAUUGCACAGGUUUGAGGUAAUUAAAAUUCUAAAAUGUUUGAGCCAUGACCAAAGAAGAAUAGAAUUAAUCGUGCUAUUUUUUUCCAAAAAUUAACUGUUAUUUAAAGAAAACAAUUAACUAAAACAAAGCAAUGAAAUUGUUAGGUUAUCCACCAAAAGGUGGAUUGGUCCAAUAUAUAAGCCCAUGGGGCUUUACUGUAAAUAUGAAAGAGUCUGGGUCCUCAAGUAUAAUAUGCUCCAGGCCUUUAUACGCAAAUACUCCUAUUAUUCAAUUUGAUUAAUUGGAGGGAACAGUUUUGUUUUUGUAACCUCCCACGUUCAAGUGUAACAAGAAGUGUGAAGGUCAGUUGAAGCCGAUAUAACAUAGUAUUGGUUUUGGCUUUCGGUUCAGUACCCAUAUAAAGAAGAAACAUUCUUAUAUUCUCUCUUGCUUGAAAGCUUCACUCUUUCAUCUAUGCACUUGCAGUGAAUUAAGAACUGAGUUUGGUCCUAUAUGUAAUGACUCUAAAUUUUAAGUUCAAAAUUUUUUUUCCCUAAUGAGUAUUUUUAUUUAAAUAAGUUUCAUAGAAAUUAGAAAGGGGGCAAUUAUAGGAAAUUACGCUAGAAAUUUUUGCAAGGAUCUAGAAUCCAAAUUUUUAUAAGCAAAAGCUUGCUUUUAAAUUAUAGAAAAAUUUCAUAUCCUUUUUUGUAAUUUUCUUGUCCCUUUCAUUGUAAUUUUCCCAUGCUCCUUUUUAUAAUUUUUCCUAUGCUCCUCAUGUUCUGAUUUCGUUUCUUUUAUGUGAAGAAAAACAGAGUAUCUUUGAUUCAUUUUUCUCACUGCCUUCCUACACUUCUCUAAAUCCUUAAAGUCAGUGCAUUUCUCUAACCCUUACCAACACACUUAGCUCACUAUUGAUAGACCGUUUUUGUGGCUGUCGUUGCUUCAUAUCACCUUAUCUUUUCAUCCUCAUCUGCCAGCCACUAUAGAACUGAGUUGCUGAUUCUCUCCCACUAUAUCGUGCUAUUUUGUGUCUACGGGAGGCUAUUAUUAGUUUGCUAUCUUCAUUGCCACCUUCCUUUUCUCCUCAAUCUUUGUUCAUCAGUCACAGUGGAGAGGUGGUAGCUACUCCUUUUAUUGCUAGCUGAAAUCAUAGUUUCCUCCUUCUUAAUGAAGAUUUGAACCUUUAUUUUCUUCUUCUUCAAUACUGUUCAAUGGCUGACUUAUACUUCCUGCCACUAAGCUUUAUUGAGGUGAGAUAUUGUUUUCUUUCCUUCCUCUUUAGGCUAUACUGUACUGCUGAAUCAUUCCCUUCUUUUUCCAGUUGAUUGAUGUGGUCCCUGCUCUUUAUUAUUGAUAUGCUAAUUGUGGUUGGGGCUAAAAUGUUGCACUUGGGUUGGAAGUUCGGCUUAGGAUUAAAUUUUUCUGCCUUCUAUAUCUUGGAUGCAGUGAACUGGAAUUUCUCUACAUUAUUGCUACUGCAUGAUUGAACAAAAAGAGGAUUUUUAGGUUUUCUUUUGUUAGGCUUGAGUAAUAUAUAUAAAUAAUGGAUGAUGCGGUUUGAAUGUUAAUGCACUUAUGGUGUUGAGAAGACAAGUAGAAGAGUCAAAGUAGAUUAAUUAAGUAUAUUCAAUAGCUAAAGACUAAUAAUAUGGAUUUAGGAAUCGUUUUUAAGAAUUCUAAUAUAUUUUGGAUAAAGAAAUGUGUUUAGGAAGCAUAUUGAAAUUGUUUAUAUGUUUGGAUUUUGGCUAGUUGAUUUAAAAUAGUAGUUAGAACCUAAAGCAGUGGAUAUUAAAUCCAUAUUAUUAUAGGGUGCACAUGCUGUCGAAACCAAAAUAUGAAUCAGAGGCUGAUGAGAAUCUUCAAGAUGAAGAUGAAGAUGUAGAACAACCUUCCACACCCUUAGUGAUCAUAAAUAUAGGGAAAAGAGAAGCUACAAGAAUUAAAAAGCCAAAUCAAAUUUCUUCGAUAGUAAGAGCAUAUUCAAGCUUUAUAACAAAAGAAGAACGAGCCCUAAUUAUAGGAUAAAUUUUCAAAUAACUCAAGAAAGAACUUGUGCAACAUAAUAAGUGAAACAAGUUGUACUUGAGAAAUUUGCUAUGAAAUAGAGCCAUCAAGGGGAUGAAAGUACAAGAAAAAUAUAAAGAGAAGAGUUGUCUUUUUAGGUCUAUACCUUAAGUAUUUUUCUGUUUUCUAAAUUUUUUUUUGUUGAGUUAUGUUAUAUUAUUUUAGGACCUUGAUGAUUUAUAAUAUAUAUGAAGCAUGUUAUAUAUUUUUGAUAUUUUUUAUUGCUUUAUAUAUACUUUAUUUGAGUAGGAGCUCUAAAGUGAUAAGUCAUUUAAGAGCUAUAUAUAUAUAUAAUGAUUAUAAAAAUAUUUGUAAAUUGUUUAUAGAUGAUAGUGAUUUUGUUAGAAUCAAUGUGAUGGGAGAUACAAACGUAGCCUCCUGAUCGUUGACCUAAUAAUGUUGCUAUCACUCUAAUAAAUAAUAAUACAAAUAUAAGACAUUAUAUGUUUCUCAUAAGUAUUUUAUUCUUGGUUUAAUAUAGAAAACUAUUAAUGUAGAAUAGUUUCGUCUCAAAAUUAAGAAUGGCAAUAAAAAGCAUUAUCACUGAAUUGAAUAAGGGUGACAAGUUAAACAGGGAUAACUAGGAUAUAUGGCACCGUAAGGUGGCAUAUAUUUUGGAAGAAAAAGAUGAUGUUGAGCCACUGAUUGUGGUCAUGGCCGAGCCUAAGGUAGGAAACUCGACUCAAUAUAGGAGAGGCUAAGAGGCAUUUACGGCAUGAAAAUAAAAAAAUAGCAUUGCACGAAUAACACUUAUAAGUGCUAUGGCGAAUGAUCUGAUGUGUAAAUUUGAGAAGCACUCCACUGUUUAAGCUAUAUGGGCUGCCUUAAAAGAAAAGAUUGGUAGUACCUCAACUACCAAACUAAGAAGGCUUAUAAUUAAGUUUGACACUUAUAAGCUAAAGCCAAAUACUCUUAUGCGGCAGCACUUAAGGGAGAUGGCUAAUAUGAUUCGUGAACUUAAAGAAGCCGGGCAUGAUCUGAGGAAUAGUAAGUACAGGUUGUAAUCAGAUCGCUCCUAACUAGCUGGGAGAAUAUGAAGGUUAACUUAACCCACAAUGAAAACAUCAUUAACUUUAAUGAUAUGGCUAAGUACCUAGAGUUAGAGGCCGAACAUUUGGAGGCUUACAAGUCAUCUAGACAGUCUUACCUUGUCAAGUAAAGUGGUCCUUCAAAUGCUAAGCCUAAUAGGGGUAAGAAGCAAGAAAAGAAGGGUAACAAGAGUAGCCCUAAGGUAAAGAAGGACAAACAACUUUUCAAGAAGAAGAGAAAGAAGAGCAGGAAAAAGAGAAUUAACCUUAAAAAGGUCAAAUGUUUUGCCUCUUAAAAUAUGGGCCAUUUUGCAAAGGAUUGUCAUAAGCAAAGUAGAUGUGAUCAGGUACUUGUGAAUUAAGUGAAUUCACAUAUUUCUUAUGUUUCCAGUAAUGCUUUUCUUACGGAAACUAUUUCCUCCUCUUGGAUUCUAGACUCAGGCUCCACAAACCACAUAAGCAAGGAUUGUGGAUCUUUCGUAGAGUGCUGUCAAUUGCCGAAUCAUAGCAAGUGGCUUUCUGUUGGAAACAACAAGAGGAUUGUGGUAAAAGGCAUAGGAAUUUGCAAGUUGAUCUUGCGAGGUAGCAAGACCUUAAUCAUCCAUGAUGUGUUACAUGCAUCGAACAUCCAACGGAACUUAACUUCAAUUGCUUGCCUUUUAGAAUUUAGGUUUGUAAUUAAUUUUCAUAACAAGGUUGUUGACAUUAUUACAAUUCAACCUUUUAUGGUUGUGCCUUUUCUUUCAAAAAGGUUCUUUAUCAUGGA